rnacentral:lncRNA from 1 species
UCAGGGCUGGUGCGCUGGGAUGACCCUGAGGGAUGGGAUGGGGAGGGAGGAGGGAAGGGGGUUCAGGAUGGGAACACAUGUACACCCGUGGCUGAUUCAUGUCAAUGUAUGGUACAAACCAGUACAAUAUUGUAAAGUAAUUAGCCUCCAAUUAAGAUAAAUAAAAGAUAGUUUUAAAAAAUUAUAUCUUGUUAUGUAUGCAGAGCAAGGCAGAGAGGAAGCAUGGAGGAAGCGGUUCCAGGGAAACAGAAGUGUGGGCAAAGGUCCAGAGACCUCAAAGCGCUGAAGGCGUGUCUGCACGUGAAUGACGCGGGAGAAGGAAGAAGAUGGAAGGAGAGACGGUUGUGGUGCUGACACCAGUCACACGGUCGGGCAAGCAGAUCUGGCACCGGAAGUUGGCUGAGUCCACGGCACGUGGCGGUGGGAGUGAGUCCAGCUCAUCAGUAUCUCUGCUCUGCGAAGGAAGCACCCUGAGGUCUCAGAAACCCCCAGGAGUCUGGAGGACAGCCCUGCCUGUUAGCUGCCUGGAACUCCGUACCCCUACCACGGCCGCAUGUCUACCCUCAAGAACGAAGCCCCGGGGGCAGCUGCGUGCCACCUAAUCAGACUUUUAUUCAUCUUUUUUUUCCCUUUGCCGUGUGCAAGAAGACAAGCUAAUGUUCAGAUUUUUGCUGCCUCUCUUCAUCUUCUAUCUAGCUUCUAUUAAUUUACAGAACACUUUUUCUUCUGAGUUAUUCAAAUGGUGAGAUGUCCACAUUCUCUUACAACAGCUUUGCACUGGAAUUCAUUCUCCUAUUGAACCCAAAAUAAACUUACGUAUUUGAAAGUGUUUAAUGUCUGUGCAUAAUAUUCUUUACAACUUAUGAAAGAAAUAUUUUUAAGAAGAGUUGGCACAGAACAUGUUCAGACAUUGUUACAGGUCCUACAGCACUUGGCCCAUAGUAGGACCCAAUAAAUAUUUGUUGCAUGAGAGAAGAGACGGCAGUAAUUACUCAGUGAAAGAAUAGUNNNNNNNNNNNNNNNNNNNNNNNNNNNNNNNNNNNNNNNNNNNNNNNNNNNNNNNNNNNNNNNNNNNNNNNNNNNNNNNNNNNNNNNNNNNNNNNNNNNCGGCAGUAAUUACUCAGUGAAAGAAUAGUGAACAGUCAUUUUGGCAAACAGAUAAAAACCAGCUGAGAAUGAGCUGUUGUCAGUUACACAAAGCUUGUUGUCAAGAGCAGCAAUUCACCAUUAAGAAAAAAAAUACCCAAGUUGUCUAAACAGGAUAUAACCAAGAAUUUACUCAUUCUAAGCCAAACCGGCCUUUUCAUAAGUGCUAAUAAAAAUAGUCUUGCCAAUUUCAGAGAUUCUUGCCUGUCAAGUCUUAAAUUCAGAACCCUAUAAACUAUCUAUGAAGUCAGAUAAUGUGUCUGUAGAGCCAGACACAUGCACAGACCUCAUGCCGUAGACGGAUCAUAAGUCAUUCUUUCCCUCUUAGUCUCUCUCCUUAAAGACUGUAGAAGUCAAAAACUGGUCUAUAAAUAUCAAAAGUUUCAAUAUAUUGCAUUUUCCCCUUCCCAACAAGUCAAGAAGAGCCAAGAGCUCUGAAAUGUGUACAGAUUAUUCCCCAUCAAUAUAGUCAGUGCCUACCUGCUAAGCUGAGCCAAGAGCUUUGACACCUUUGAAGCACAACUCUGAACACGCCAGUAACUCAAGGUUAGAGAUCCAGAGGAAGCCAGCUAAAAACCAGAACGACCUGAUGACGUGACCAAACGCUAACGCCAUUUCAUAAAAUCGUAGCACAGAAUGUCUUGGCAGUAAUGGGUGUGUGUGAAUGCUCAGUGCAGGGUCCGACUCUUUGCAACCCCAUGGCCUGUAGCCUACCAGGCUCCUCUGUCUGUGGGAUUUUCUAGGCACACAUACUGGAGUGGGUUGCCAUUUCUUCUUCAGUCAGGGGAUCUUCCUGGCCCAGGGAUCAAACUCAUGUCUCCUGCACUGCAGUUGGAUUCUUUACCACUGAGCCACUGCCACUGGGGAAGCUCACGUACGCUUAAGCUUACAUAACUCAGGCCGCACAGGACUGGACUGGCAGCCCGAGUCUGCCUGACCCCCAAAUCCGCUCUCCUCUCCAUAGGAGCUGCAAAACCACUAUAGAGAAUCAACAGAAUCAUCUCCAAUGGAGACAUCCUUUGUUGCUGAAAACUUUUUAAAAAUUGUUUUAUUUAUUUGUUUCUGAAGUUCUUUCAGUUUCACAUUAGUUGCCCUUCAGGAAAAAGGGCAAGUUCCAUGUUAUAGGUAAAGAAAACUCAUUCUCUAUAUUCUGUAAUAGCCUAAAUGGGAAAAUAUUAGAUACAUGUGUUUGCAUAAUUAAAUCACUUUGCUGUAAACCUGAAACCAACACAACUGUUAGUCAACAAUAUUCCGAUAUAAAAUAAAAAUUAAAAGAAUAAAAUUCAUUCUCAGUUAUGUGUGCAGGUUUGAAAAACUAGUGUGACAAGAUUCCAUGGAUCAAAAACAGAAUGCUUGCAAUGUACACAUCUUGGAAAUAUUUACAACAUAAAUGAUUCGCUUGCCCAAUAGAACUAUGUGCAUUUAAACAUAUUGUAUGUGAAAUACAAACUCCAGGAGAUAGUGAAGGACAGGGAAGCCUGGCAUGCUGUAGUCCAUGCGGUCAAACAGAGUUGGGCAGGACUUAGAGACUGAACAGCCACAACAACAUAUGAAACACACUGCAAGUUUUUCCCAGUGAAUUUGCAUUUUGAACACUUUGAUUACUCCAAGUGCCACCUAUCCCCUGUUCUUGGGCCCUGGGAUUGAGGUCCAGGGAGCCAGGAGGCCACAGGAUUCUCAGUUCUCAUCAACCCCACAGCUAUGCAGUAGAGGCAACUGGCAAACCUUACAUGAGGACAACCUACCUUUAAGUUGGAAAAGCCCGAAGCUGAACACAUGGGCACCAGCUGUUUUUCUAUUCAAGAGGAUUUACCAAGUGUCUCUUUCACACUCAGUAUAAAGGCUCUUUCAGCCAUAUGCUGUGGCGUCUUCAGCACAUUUCCAGUCUGUGGCACCCAGAUGCAAACUUUGACUAGACUGAGUCUUUGUAGAUAGAACUGGUCUGAAUCAGUGCGGAAAAAGGAAGAUUGUA